rnacentral:lncRNA from 1 species
AGACAGCAUAAGAACAACUAAAUCUCUCAAAAUUUUAUAAACAGGCUGGGCAUGGUGGCUCAUGCCUGUAAUCCCAGCACUUUGGGACGCCAAGGCAGGUGGAUCACUUGAGGUCAGGAGUUCGAGACCAGCCUGGCCAACAUGGUGAAACCCUGUCUCCACUAAAAAUACAAAAAUUACCCAGGUGUGGUGGCAUGUGCCUGUAGUCCCAGCUACUUGGGAGGCUGAGGCAGGAGAAUUGCUUGAACCCAGGAGGCAGAGGUUGCAGUGAGUUGAGAUUGUGCCACCGCACUCCAACCUGGGCAACAGAGCAAGACUCUGUCUCAAAAAAAAAAUUAUAAGCAAAAUCUACUAAAUUUUAGUCAUUUGACCGUAAGAUAUAAUUUCCAUAAACCUUUCUAUAACCUGUAUAACCUUUUUUUAAGGAGUGUGCUAAUGCUCUAAGAAAAUGCUCAAAAACCAGCCAUAUGCUGGUUUUGCAUCAGUGUGCCUUUGACAUUAAUGGUUAGGUUUAUAGAGAACCAAACUAAUUUAAUCUCUCAACAUCAGCCCUUACAAUCUCAUGCACCCAGCUCUUCCACAAUAGUCCCUGAGCCUUGGGAAGUCGAAUACGUUUAAUUUCUGGCCCUGUGUCUCAUGAAAGCAGUUUAUUUUGAUUGGCAUCUUCUACCAGGUCUGAAGAUGAGGCUUUAACUGCUGUCAGUAUUUAAGAUUGAGCAGGACUUAGUGUCCUUUUUAGACUCAAGAGUCAAACCCUGUAAUUGAAUGGCACAAAAACUUGAAAAGCACAUACAGAAAGUUACACGGAUGCAAUAACUUUAAUUUAGAAUGUUUUUUCAGUUUUUUCUAAGCAAACCAAAACUUAAUAGUAAUGAUAUAGGAAUUAUUUCAAUAAAACAUAAAAUCUGUUUGUUAGGCCAGUUACCAAAAGGCAAAAGCAAAGACCUUCUGCAGUGUAAUUUCUGUUCCCUAUGGGGAAUCCAUUUAGAUAAUCUGCAAGUCAAAACUAAUGAAAAUAGUACUUGAAUUAGACAUAGGAAGAAUG